rnacentral:misc_RNA from 1 species
GAUGAAGAACGCAGCGAAAUGCGAUAAGUAAUGUGAAUUGCAGAAUUCAGUGAAUCAUCGAAUCUUUGAACGCACAUUGCGCCCGCCAGUAUUCUGGCGGGCAUGCCUGUUCGAGCGUCAUUACAACCCUCAGGCCCCCGGGCCUGGCGUUGGGGAUCGGCGGAGCCCCCCGUGGGCACACGCCGUCCCCCAAAUGCAGUGGCGGUCCCGCCGCAUCUUCCAUCGCGUAGUAGCUAACACCUCGCGACUGGAGAGCGGCGCGGCCACGCCGUAAAACACCCAACUCUUCUGAAGUUGACCUCGAAUCAGGUAGGAAUACCCGCUGAACUUAAGCAUAUCAAUAAGCGGAGGA